rnacentral:rRNA from 1 species
GACGAACGCUGGCGGCGUGCUUAACACAUGCAAGUCGAACGGAAAGGCCCUGCUUUUGUGGGGUGCUCGAGUGGCGAACGGGUGAGUAACACGUGAGUAACCUGCCCUUGACUUUGGGAUAACUUCAGGAAACUGGGGCUCAUACCGGAUAGGAGCUCCUGCUGCAUGGUGGGGGUUGGAAAGUUUCGGCGGUUGGGGAUGGACUCGCGGCUUAUCAGCUUGUUGGUGGGGUAGUGGCUUACCAAGGCUUUGACGGGUAGCCGGCCUGAGAGGGUGACCGGCCACAUGGGGACUGAGAGACGGCCCAGACGCGUACGGGAGGCAGCAGUGGGGAAUAUGGCAGAGUGGGCGGAAGCCAGAUGCAGCAACGCCGCGUGCGGGAUGACGGCCUUCGGGUGGUAAACAGCUGUCGCCUGUGACGAAGCGGGAGUGACGGUAAUGGGUAAAGAAGCACCGGCUAACUACGUG